rnacentral:rRNA from 1 species
UUAAACCUCUUCCAGAGUAUCAAUUGGAGGGCAAGUCUGGUGCCAGCAGCCGCGGUAAUUCCAGCUCCAAUAGCGUAUAUUAAAAUUGUUGCAGUUAAAAAGCUCGUAGUUGAAUUUCUGCUGCAUUGCAUUUGCUCCUUGACGAGUGUCUGUAUUGCGGCUUAUUUCGGAUUAUGCUUGCAUUUUCCGGAUGUUUACUUUGAGAAAAUUAGAGUGCUCAAAGCAGGCUUUUGCCUUGAAUAGUUUAGCAUGGAAUAAUAAAGUAGGACUUUGGUUCUAUUUUGUUGGUUUUAGGUACCAAAGUAAUGGUUAAUAGGAACAGUUGGGGGCAUUCGUAUUUA